AUGCCAGAUCCUGACCAUCUUCUCCAAACCUUCCCCGGGAGAGACUCUGCCUUUAGGAUCAUCCAAGUGUCCCUGCUCUCAGAAGCGGAGGCCCACUGGUUUUCUAUAACGUACUCUUUUCCUCCUGCCACAUCCUGCCCCCUUCACGUUCAUGAGUCAUUACCAGCCAGGGAAGGUCAUCCAAGUUUCCUCUAGCGUGGGCCGUGUCUUUGGGACCGAGACUUUCCUUGGAGAGCUGCUGAGAGUGGACAGUCCCAGAAAGAAGUGUCAAAGGGCCCAGGGGAAAGGGGACUGUGCCCUGCAGGCUCACCUCACAGGGGUCAGGGUUUGCUCCACAGCUGCAGCUCUGGGCUGACGCCCCCCAGACCCCUUCCUUCUCGGAGUGACCCACCCCCAGGCCACCUGCUCCCGAGAGUUCUGUGCACUUUACUCUUUGGACUUCUCCUCACAUGUGCCCUGGUUUUAUGGGGAGAGGGAAUUGCUGUUGGGAAGGCAGAGCCGUUGCUGCCCUCUCUGCCCUUGCUUCCUGUGGCUGGAGCCCAGGCAAAGAGAGCAGAAGCCAGCGUGAGACUGAGGCCCCUGGUGCCUAUCGAGGACCAGAGUGAAGGGGACUACAUCUCCCAGCCCUUCACCUUUUAAAUGUGAGUGGUUUUAAAAGGAAAAAAACAAAACCAGGCAACAGCAACAAUAUUCUGUUUUUAAAAUAGGGACAAGACUUUGUCCCUUUUUAGACAUGUAUCCCAUUCCUUUUGGCGCUGUAUUUGGGGCUGUAGCUCUUCCAAGCCCGUGGCAGCCCCUCCCGAGUCUCUCCCAGUAGAAUGCAGCCUCCCUUCCCGGCCCUUCCCUCCCAGUGACUGGCUCCCUGGGGCCUUCUUGUGGAACCCAGAGGGGCUGAGGACUGUGGCCUGGCUGGCGGGCCAGCGUGGUGCUCCUCAGGACUGCGGCACUGAGAUGGAACCUGGCAUCAGUUUAGGAACAGGGGCCACAACAGGGCAGGAACCCACCACCCUCCACAUAGGAAUACAGCCAGUGGGGCCCCGUCACAUGAGGCGUCAGACCCACCCUGUCAGCCCAGCAGGCCGGGCUGUGUCCUUCAGACCAGUGCCGCCCUAGACUCUGACUCGGGGCUCCAGCCUGCCGCGCGUCUCCCCCCCGCCCUCUUGAAUGUACUCUGGUCUUGCAGUGCGCCGCUGGGCCUUUCUUGCUCAGCCAUCACUCGGCCACCCUGUUUGCUCUGGGUCUGCCUGAAUUUUCUGCCCUGAGAUCUGGGCAUGAAGUGGAUGAAACUUGAAAGACCUUCAGUGUAGAUCCAGAUGGCCAACCUGUCCUUGUUAAGUUACCUGCUUCUUGGGACUCAGUGUCCACAAUCUCUUCGAACCUUUACGGUGAUCCAUAGUUUAAGCAAGACUGGAGAAUGGACAACACUAUGAAGCUGUGGCUAGAAAGGGACUGUCACGUCCCAUCCUUUGGCUGGAUUGACUGGGAUGUCCGGACAGAUGCCCGUGUGGGUGGCGAGGGCCACACCUGCACACGAGCGGGCAGCUGCUUGCAGUUCACCGCUGUGAUGGCAGAGUGUGUUCAAAGGUGAGUCUCCUGCUCUUCUGGACUCUUCUCUCAGGCAAGAAAGGCUGCCGGCUGCCUGAGCACAAAGCCAAGGAACUGAACUGAGUCUUUCUGUUGAGUCCUGAGUUUGUCGUUGGCAGGUUUACUUGUGGCCAGCUCGCUCUGCCCAUGGGCGUCUGAGCAGGCAGACCAGAAGACCAGGCACCGGACAUGCAUGCCAAAGGGACCGGUCAUCUCCUGCGGACCUGUACAUGACCCUGUGGACCGUUCCGCACAAUCCGGAACCCACUUUUUACUCACUCCCCAUGUCUCUGAGCCUUCCUCUUCUUUCUCUUUCCCUCUGCCAUCCUGACACUGAUAGUUUGUCAUAUAAAUCCCCCCGGUUGUGUUUUUUUUCUAGGAAAAAAAUUAAAAAGGAAAAUAAAACCAAAAAACCAGAAACCACAAAUAAGAAUGGAAAUGCCAAUGGCUGCCUGUCAUUUUUGUCACAAUUUUCCUGAUUUGGUUUGUUCCCUUGAUCUCAGAGAAGCAGGAGACAUUGAUGAGGCUGUAAUUUUUUUUCUUUUUCUUUUUUUUUGAGACAAGAGUCUCGCUCUGUCGCCCAGGCUGGACUGCAGUGGCGUGAUCUCAGCUCACUGCAACCUCUGCCUCCUGGGUUCAAGCGAUUCUCCUGCCUCAGCCUCCCAAGUAGCUGGGAUUACAGGCGUGUGCCACUGUGCCCGGAUACUUUUUUUGUAUUUUUAGUAGAGAGGGGUUUUACCAUGUUGGCCAGGCUGGUCUCGAACUCUUGACCUCAGGUUAUCCACCCACCUCGGCCUCUCAAAGUGCUGGGAUUACAAGCAUGAACCACCGCACCUGGCCAAAGAUGUAAUUUAAAAUGGUUAGAAAGGACUUGGCAUGGGCCAGCUCCGUGCAUGGCAUUUUCACCCCCAGAGCUUUCUAAUCCUGUUUUCACACAGGAAGCUUCUAGGUCUUUCUAGAACAGCUAGAAACAGUAGCUGACUCCUGCCCCAGGCCCAGCCUUCAAACCUGAGCUCUUCACGCUGCGUCCUCUGGUGAGCUAUAGAAGAGAACACGGCUCCUAACCUCUAGCCAUCCUGCGGGAGGAAAUAGACUUCUUUGGGCUGUGGCUUGCAGAACAAACUACACUUUUUUUCCCUCUAUUUUUAAAUUUUAUUUAAUAAUUUGUGUGUUUUUCUCUCUUUUUAUUUUCUAUGUUUCAUGUUUUCCUUCACUCCCUAGAAACUGCACUUUCUUUGAAAUCAUAGGCAAUGAAUCUUACUAGGAGAAGUAUGGGGACAGAGACAGUUCUGGGAUGUGACCUGUAAGCCUCCUGGAGGGCAGUGCCAGGCCUUGAUUGCCCACAUUCCCUCCAUUCCUUCUUUCCUUCCUUCAUACAUUCGGUCACACAGCCCCACAUGUGCAUCACGGUAAGAGCCGAGGGCUCCCUUCAGGGAGCAACCCAUUUAGGUCUCUUUUGUUGUUGCUAGGGAGAAUACACAUCUUUCUUGGAA